rnacentral:rRNA from 1 species
UACGGAGGGUGCGAGCGUUGUUCGGAUUUAUUGGGCGUAAAGCGAGCGCAGGCGGACUUGCAAGUCAGAUGUGAAAUCUCGGGGCUCAACCCCGAAACUGCGUCUGAAGCUACAGGUCUAGAAUCUUGGAGGGGGAUAGGGAAUUUCUCAUGUAGGGGUAAAAUCCGUAGAGAUGAGAAGGAACACCUGUGGCGAAGGCGCUAUCCUGGACAAGUAUUGACGCUGAGGCUCGAAAGCGUGGGGAGCAAACAGG